CCAAGAGUUUUCCUCAAUUUAAAUAUAAAAAAUGUUCAAUAAAAUAUCCAUCAAUUUAAAACACAGAUCAUGUGGCAAGUAU